rnacentral:rRNA from 1 species
UACGUAGGGCGCAAGCGUUGUCCGGAAUUAUUGGGCGUAAAGAGCUCGUAGGUGGCUUGUCACGUCGGGUGUGAAAGCUUGGGGCUUAACUCCAGGUCUGCAUUCGAUACGGGCUGGCUAGAGGUAGGUAGGGGAGAACGGAAUUCCUGGUGUAGCGGUGAAAUGCGCAGAUAUCAGGAGGAACACCGGUGGCGAAGGCGGUUCUCUGAGCCUUACCUGACGCUGAGGAGCGAAAGCGUGGGGAGCGAACAGG